CCUACGGGAGGCAGCAGUAGGGAAUAUUGCUCAAUGGGGGAAACCCUGAAGCAGCAACGCCGCGUGGAGGAUGAAGGUUUUCGGAUUGUAAACUCCUUUUGUUAGAGAAGAUAAUGACUGUAUCUAACGAAUAAGCACCGGCUAACUCCGUGCCAGCAGCCGCGGUAAUACGGAGGGUGCAAGCGUUACUCGGAAUCACUGGGCGUAAAGAGCGCGUAGGCGGGAUAGCAAGUCAGAUGUGAAAUCCUAUGGCUUAACCAUAGAAGUGCAUUUGAAACUGUUAUUCUAGAGUAUGGGAGAGGUAGGUGGAAUGCUUGGUGUAGGGGUAAAAUGCGUAGAUAUCAAGAGGAAUACUCAUUGCGAAGGCGACCUGCUAGAACAUAACUGACGCUGAUGCGCGAAAGCGUGGGGAGCAAACAGGAUUAGAUACCCGAGUAGUC
rnacentral:rRNA from 1 species